CUGGUGUUGUACCACCAUUCUGCCUAGUACAACCACUUAGCCCACGGUUUGGGUUGAGCAAAGCACAUAGCAUCUCAAAUUGGCUUCUACACAUCUUUUCACUACUUCGGUUUGGCCAUCUGUCUGUGCAUGAUAGGCUGUGCUGAACUGAAGUUUAGUGCCUAGGAACUUGAAGAGUUCUUGGCAUAAUUGACCUAUGAAUAAGCAUGAGAUAGAGCAAAAAAGUGAGCACACUAAGUGAAUCUGUCUACCACCACCAGAAUUGAGUCAAACCCCUGGGACUUAUGUAAUUUGUCAUUUAAAUUUAUGGAUGUGGAUUGCUGAGCUUAUUAUGGAAUGGGCAAUGGUUGUAGUAAUCCUGGGUAGGCAGUACAGGACUCAAAUUUGCACCUUCUGCAAACGUCACAGGUUAGAACCCAUUCUGUUGUUGAUUUUUGCAUGCCAGGCCAGUACAAUACUCAUCCCAGUCUUUGAUAAGUGCCUCCAAUAUGAGAUUGGUGGUAAGUCUCAAUUAUUCUAAGCCUUAAACUAUUGAUGCUCCCUACAUAUAGCUUCCCUUUAUAAUAUGAGAGUCCAGCUUUGAGAGUGUAAUUAGGAAUUGAAUUAGAUUUAUUGACAGAGCUUGGAGCAGCUUUAGAGCUUCAUCAUCCUCUUUAUGGGAAGCUCUGGCUUCUUCCAUCCAAGUAUGAAUGAUAAAGGCUGUGAGAAAAUAUGAACACUGCAAAUUUGGCCUUCUGGAUAAAGCAUCUGCUGCCUUAUUCUCAGCCCCCUUGUAUUGAAUUCUAUAGUCAAACCAAUAAUUUGGUGAUCACUUUCUAUUGGACGUUGUUGUGUAAUCUCUGCUCCAGAAGAUGCUUAAUACUCUUGUGAUUGGUCUUUAUAAUAAAUUCGCCUUGCUCUAAAUAGUGUCUCCACUUAGAUACAACAAGUAAGAUGGCUAGCAACUCUCUUUUAUUUGUUGACAGCUGCUGGCUUCUCGUGCUCAGUGGUUUUGAGAGAAAAUAAAUAGGCCUUUCCUUCUGCAUAAGGACUGCUUCGAUUUGAAACCCCUCCAUACUCCCAUCAUAUCGUAGUGAAUUAAAUGACUCAAUUACAUCCUCCAUUAUAUUGUCCCCAAUCCUAUCAUACAAGAAUCUCUCAAAUUCUUCCCAUUCUAUAGCUCUUUUACUCUUGCCUCAAUUCUGAAAUCACAUCUUUAUUUUUCCACCUACAAACAGAGAAGCUAAUUCAACCUGCCUCCACAUCAUAUAUAUGGAAAUAUCAUGCAUUUCGCAAUCCAAACCCAAGGCUCUUCCCCUUCAAAAGUAGGAAGAUUUACUUUGGGCAAUAAUUUGCUCCAAUAUGAUGGUCUUAAGGGCUGGUCACUACUGGUCCUAUCGCCUGGCUCCCUGGGUGUGGAACUGGGAAGUAUUGCCUGGUAUCUCUAGAUGAUUCUACACCAGUGGUAGGUUCUUUAACUGUGCAGAUUUUAUACCAUUUGGUUGAGUUUGGCUUGGACCUUUUGGCUGUCAGCGAAUGCGUUCUGUGUUUCUUCAUAAUAAUAAUCAUGAAUCUCCUAAGCUAAUGUCUUGCUCUUUGAAUAUUAUGUAACUAAAUCACUAAUUUGCUGUACUAUAUGGAAUUCUUUUUUUAUUGGACUCUUAGUUGCUAAGAUGCUUACACACAUAAAUAAAUUAAAAUUCUAUAAAGGUUAUACUUUUAUUAUGAAUAUAAUAAGACAAUUAACAAUUAUAUCUUAAAUAGAGAGACCCAUCUCAUAGUUCAAUGUACGUGUAAAAUUAUUCUUAUGUGGUAAAAUAAUAUUAAUUAAGAAGCCAAUUGUCAAGAGGGGAGGCAUGAGACGUGACGGACUAAGAUUGUGUGUGUGUGUGUGUUGAUUCUUGUGAUCCUGAAUUUUGUGUGAUCCUUAUUCUAUUUAGGCUUCCAUGUAAUAGAUUCUUCUAAUUAUUUCUCUAUUUAUUUAUAAUAAAUAGGAAUUACUAUUAUCCUGCAUGUAGGAGUGCAAGACUGAUACCGAUUAGGAAUUUAACAUGGCCCACUACUUUAAAGUGGUGAAUAAAGAAAUUCACUGAAAAUUUUAGAAAUUUUUAGCUUUCUUUCGGAUUAUCAUUUUCCAUUGAUGUUUUCUCCAUCCUUUAACUGUAUUUCUGCAUCAUAAUUCCUCUAGCAAGAUAUUUUACAGAUUACUCAUGAAAUAAAUGUCUCUCAAUGUCAUUUGAUUUUGGCCCACAGGAACGCCAGAAUUCAUCUCAACUCAAGGGUGAGCAAAGGCGUAGAGAACUUGAGAUGAUCAAUGACCUUCUUAGUGUGAAGGAAAUACUUCGUGAUGCUAAGCAAUGCCCAUCUUGUAAGAUGGCAAUCUCAAGAACUGAAGGUUGCAAUAAGAUGGUAUGUAAUAACUGUGGGCAAUACUUCUGCUACCGCUGUAACAGUGCAAUUGAUGGAUAUGAUCAUUUUAA
rnacentral:misc_RNA from 1 species